rnacentral:rRNA from 1 species
UACGAAGGGACCUAGCGUUGUUCGGAAUUACUGGGCGUAAAGGGCGCGUAGGCGGUCUUUUAAGUCAGAUGUGAAAGCCCUGGGCUUAACCUGGGAGGUGCAUUUGAUACUGGAAGGCUAGAGAUCGAGAGGGGGUAGUGGAAUUGCGAGUGUAGAGGUGAAAUUCGUAGAUAUUCGCAGGAACACCAGUGGCGAAGGCGGCUACCUGGCUCGAAUCUGACGCUAAGGCGCGAAAGCGUGGGGAGCAAACAGG